rnacentral:rRNA from 1 species
GCAGUCGAACGGUGAACACGGAGCUAGCUCUGUGGGAUCAGUGGCGAACGGGUGAGUAACACGUGAGCAACCUGCCCCUGACUCUGGGAUAAGCGCUGGAAACGGCGUCUAAUACUGGAUAUGUGACGUGAUCGCAUGGUCUGCGUCUGGAAAGAAUUUCGGUUGGGGAUGGGCUCGCGGCCUAUCAGCUUGUUGGUGAGGUAAUGGCUCACCAAGGCGUCGACGGGUAGCCGGCCUGAGAGGGUGACCGGCCACACUGGGACUGAGACACGGCCCAGACUCCUACGGGAGGCAGCAGUGGGGAAUAUUGCACAAUGGGCGCAAGCCUGAUGCAGCAACGCCGCGUGAGGGACGACGGCCUUCGGGUUGUAAACCUCUUUUAGCAGGGAAGAAGCGAAAGUGACGGUACCUGCAGAAAAAGCGCCGGCUAACUACGUGCCAGCAGCCGCGGUAAUGCGUAGGGCGCAAGCGUUAUCCGGAAUUAUUGGGCGUAAAGAGCUCGUAGGCGGU